CCUGUCUAGAAAGUGAUACCCGUCACAUCUAGUAACGAGUCUUGGGUCAUAAAUGGUAACGUUUAUGAUUAAGCGUAGACAGUUAGGUAUUAGGGUUAGUAUUGAGCUUCGAAACGUAUCGAUAUAGAUUGGAAGUGUAGACGUUGUCGUCCAAACGGAAUACAAUAUUUGAUAAUAUGUUAUGGGAAGUAUUAUCAAACUUCCACGGAGUCUGU
rnacentral:ncRNA from 1 species